rnacentral:rRNA from 1 species
AGGGUUUGAUCAUGGCUCAGAUUGAACGCUGGCGGCAGGCCUAACACAUGCAAGUCGAACGCGAAAGCACUUCGGUGUGAGUAGAGUGGCGGACGGGUGAGUAACGCGUGGGAAUCUACCUAGUAGUGGAGGAUAACUCGGGGAAACUCGAGCUAAUACUGCAUACGCCCUACGGGGGAAAGCGGGGGAUCUUCGGACCUCGUGCUAUUGGAUGAGCCCGCGUUAGAUUAGCUUGUUGGUGAGGUAAUGGCUCACCAAGGCGACGAUCUAUAGCUGGUCUGAGAGGAUGAUCAGCCACAUUGGGACUGAGACACGGCCCAAACUCCUACGGGAGGCAGCAGUGGGGAAUAUUGCGCAAUGGGCGAAAGCCUGACGCAGCCAUGCCGCGUGUGUGAAGAAGGCCUUCGGGUUGUAAAGCACUUUCAAUAGGGAGGAAAGGUUGUAGUUUAAUACGCUGCAACUGUGACGUUACCUAUAGAAGAAGGACCGGCUAACUCCGUGCCAGCAGCCGCGGUAAUACGGAGGGUCCGAG